ACCGGACGAGUCAGCACCUGGAGCGCGGCCCGGCCGCCCGUGCCCCCUUGCCACCUCCCUCUUUGGGGACUUCCUGCUUUUCUUACUUGGCCGCCUUUAAUCCCGUAGCCUUGACCGUGUGGGCAGUGGAAAACAUUUCUUAAGGCAAAGUCUCCCACUUACGACAGUGACUAUUUAAUUAAUUUUAUGAGGACUGCAAGUGAAUUUAACCGGGGAGGCAGGAGUCACGUUGGGAAUGCUAAUGCGGACCGGCGGACCUUCAAAGAGCAGGAACACCAACUGAGAAUUCAAGGCUGUAGUGUGGAACCGAUGCCGGCAGGGGUGGCCUCAGAUCAUAGCCAGCAGCUCAGACCUCAGACAGGGACCACAGCCAGCACCUCAGAGAUUUCAGGAUUCAAGUUCAGAUUGUGCAACAAAAAAAGAAAGUCCUUCCAAGCCCACUAGAGGCACAACAGGCUCUCCUAGGACAUCACUCCUGUUAUCAUUACUCCGUUCCACAGAUGAAGAAACCAAAGGCACAGACGGGCUAAGUACCUUGUCCCAGGACCAAGAUGUCAUAAGCGGUGGAGCAGAGUUCCCAUCCAGAACCAGCUCCUGGCUCCCCUUGGAAGGCUGAGCCCUGCCUUUCAGGGUGGGCUCCUCAGGAGCAUUUUAGAAGCCCAGAUGCUCUGGCCAGACCCUAGACCUACAGAAAGUCUGAUGGGGAACAAGCUCCCCAGGGGCUCCUGUGCAUGUUACAGGCGGAGAAGACCAAUGACGAAACCAUUAUACAACACAUCGCCGGUUUUACAGUAACAGUAAACAUAAACACGCACACAGAAAAAUGUAGCUGGAAUUCUGUGGACUUUUUUUUAGCCAAGCAGCUAAUUGUAGAACCUACACAA